UCCCUGGAGGACUAGUGGUUAAACCGCGGCGCUCUCACUGCUGCAGCCCGGGUUUGAUUCCUGGCCAGGGAA